rnacentral:rRNA from 1 species
UUAAGCGACUAAGCGUACACGGUGGAUGCCCUGGCAGUCAGAGGCGAUGAAGGACGUGCUAAUCUGCGAUAAGCGUCGGUAAGGUGAUAUGAACCGUUAUAACCGGCGAUUUCCGAAUGGGGAAACCCAGUGUGAUUCGUCACACUAUCAUUAACUGAAUCCAUAGGUUAAUGAGGCGAACCGGGGGAACUGAAACAUCUAAGUACCCCGAGGAAAAGAAAUCAACCGAGAUUCCCCCAGUAGCGGCGAGCGAACGGGGAGCAGCCCAGAGCCUGAAUCAGUGUGUGUGUUAGUGGAAGCGUCUGGAAAGGCGCGCGAUACAGGGUGACAGCCCCGUACACAAAAAUGCACAUAUUGUGAGCUCGAUGAGUAGGGCGGGACACGUGGUAUCCUGUCUGAAUAUGGGGGGACCAUCCUCCAAGGCUAAAUACUCCUGACUGACCGAUAGUGAACCAGUACCGUGAGGGAAAGGCGAAAAGAACCCCGGCGAGGGGAGUGAAAAAGAACCUGAAACCGUGUACGUACAAGCAGUGGGAGCACGCUUAGGCGUGUGACUGCGUACCUUUUGUAUAAUGGGUCAGCGACUUAUAUUCUGUAGCAAGGUUAACCGAAUAGGGGAGCCGAAGGGAAACCGAGUCUUAACUGGGCGUUAAGUUGCAGGGUAUAGACCCGAAACCCGGUGAUCUAGCCAUGGGCAGGUUGAAGGUUGGGUAACACUAACUGGAGGACCGAACCGACUAAUGUUGAAAAAUUAGCGGAUGACUUGUGGCUGGGGGUGAAAGGCCAAUCAAACCGGGAGAUAGCUGGUUCUCCCCGAAAGCUAUUUAGGUAGCGCCUCGUGAACUCAUCUCCGGGGGUAGAGCACUGUUUCGGCAAGGGGGUCAUCCCGACUUACCAACCCGAUGCAAACUGCGAAUACCGGAGAAUGUUAUCACGGGAGACACACGGCGGGUGCUAACGUCCGUCGUGAAGAGGGAAACAACCCAGACCGCCAGCUAAGGUCCCAAAGUCAUGGUUAAGUGGGAAACGAUGUGGGAAGGCCCAGACAGCCAGGAUGUUGGCUUAGAAGCAGCCAUCAUUUAAAGAAAGCGUAAUAGCUCACUGGUCGAGUCGGCCUGCGCGGAAGAUGUAACGGGGCUAAACCAUGCACCGAAGCUGCGGCAGCGACGCUUAUGCGUUGUUGGGUAGGGGAGCGUUCUGUAAGCCUGCGAAGGUGUGCUGUGAGGCAUGCUGGAGGUAUCAGAAGUGCGAAUGCUGACAUAAGUAACGAUAAAGCGGGUGAAAAGCCCGCUCGCCGGAAGACCAAGGGUUCCUGUCCAACGUUAAUCGGGGCAGGGUGAGUCGACCCCUAAGGCGAGGCCGAAAGGCGUAGUCGAUGGGAAACAGGUUAAUAUUCCUGUACUUGGUGUUACUGCGAAGGGGGGACGGAGAAGGCUAUGUUGGCCGGGCGACGGUUGUCCCGGUUUAAGCGUGUAGGCUGGUUUUCCGGCAAAUCCGGAAAAUCAAGGCUGAGGCGUGAUGACGAGGCACUACGGUGCUGAAGCAACAAAUGCCCUGCUUCCGUGAAAGCCUCUAAGCAUCAGGUAACAUCAAAUCGUACCCCAAACCGACACAGGUGGUCAGGUAGAGAAUACCAAGGCGCUUGAGAGAACUCGGGUGAAGGAACUAGGCAAAAUGGUGCCGUAACUUCGGGAGAAGGCACGCUGAUAUGUAGGUGAAGUCCCUCGCGGAUGGAGCUGAAAUCAGUCGAAGAUACCAGCUGGCUGCAACUGUUUAUUAAAAACACAGCACUGUGCAAACACGAAAGUGGACGUAUACGGUGUGACGCCUGCCCGGUGCCGGAAGGUUAAUUGAUGGGGUUAGCCGCAAGGCGAAGCUCUUGAUCGAAGCCCCGGUAAACGGCGGCCGUAACUAUAACGGUCCUAAGGUAGCGAAAUUCCUUGUCGGGUAAGUUCCGACCUGCACGAAUGGCGUAAUGAUGGCCAGGCUGUCUCCACCCGAGACUCAGUGAAAUUGAACUCGCUGUGAAGAUGCAGUGUACCCGCGGCAAGACGGAAAGACCCCGUGAACCUUUACUAUAGCUUGACACUGAACAUUGAGCCUUGAUGUGUAGGAUAGGUGGGAGGCUUGGAAGUGUGGACGCCAGUCUGCAUGGAGCCGACCUUGAAAUACCACCCUUUAAUGUUUGAUGUUCUAACGUUGACCCGUAAUCCGGGUUGCGGACAGUGUCUGGUGGGUAGUUUGACUGGGGCGGUCUCCUCCUAAAGAGUAACGGAGGAGCACGAAGGUUGGCUAAUCCUGGUCGGACAUCAGGAGGUUAGUGCAAUGGCAUAAGCCAGCUUGACUGCGAGCGUGACGGCGCGAGCAGGUGCGAAAGCAGGUCAUAGUGAUCCGGUGGUUCUGAAUGGAAGGGCCAUCGCUCAACGGAUAAAAGGUACUCCGGGGAUAACAGGCUGAUACCGCCCAAGAGUUCAUAUCGACGGCGGUGUUUGGCACCUCGAUGUCGGCUCAUCACAUCCUGGGGCUGAAGUAGGUCCCAAGGGUAUGGCUGUUCGCCAUUUAAAGUGGUACGCGAGCUGGGUUUAGAACGUCGUGAGACAGUUCGGUCCCUAUCUGCCGUGGGCGCUGGAGAACUGAGGGGGGGCUGCUCCUAGUACGAGAGGACCGGAGUGGACGCAUCACUGGUGUUCGGGUUGUCAUGCCAAUGGCACUGCCCGGUAGCUAAAUGCGGAAGAGAUAAGUGCUGAAAGCAUCUAAGCACGAAACUUGCCCCGAGAUGAGUUCUCCCUGACCCUUUAAGGGUCCUGAAGGAACGUUGAAGACGACGACGUUGAUAGGCCGGGUGUGUAAGCGCAGCGAUGCGUUGAGCUAACCGGUACUAAUGAACCGUGAGGCUUAACCU